AUACGUAGGGAGCAAACGUUGUCCGGAUUUAUUGGGCGUAAAGGGCCCGUAGGCGGUUCAACAAGUCGGUCGUGAAAGCCCGGGGCUCAACCCCGGGACGCCGGUCGAAACUGUUGUGACUAGAGUUCGGUAGAGGUGAGUGGAAUUCUCGGUGUAGCGGUGGAAUGCGCAGAUAUCGAGAGGAACACCAUUAGCGAAGGCGGCUCACUGGGCCGAUACUGACGCUGAGGAGCGAAAGCGUGGGGAGCAAACAGGAUUAGAAACCCCAGUAGUCC
rnacentral:rRNA from 1 species